GAGAGCAGCCCCGCGUUGUAGUCCAGCACGAACCAGCGGUACUGCCAGCCCUUCAUCACAUUGGUCCAUUUGCUCAGCGGGCCCUCCAUGAUAGACGCCAUCUUAGCACCGGACCGGCACCGCCGCGCACGCCGCGCGUUCGGGAAACGUUCCUUCCAUUUUAUUUUUUACGGGUAACAAAUGCAGUAAUAAACUACAAUCAAGUAGAAGAUGGAGCAUCCUGUGUCAUCCUCAGUCUCCAGCUACUGGCCUUUACAGAAUUAUGUUUGGUUUAGGGGAUUACAGAGAGGAAGAUAGAUGGGAGAGAAUCACCUUCACCCUACAAGCAGUCAUUCUUCAAAGAGGACAAUUAAAUCAAGCAUGACAGUAAGUGCCAUUUUUUCAGGGGAACACUCUACUUCCCUCUCAUAAUCACUGUGCAGAACUUCUCUGGCUGUUGAAUCUCAUGCUGGCUGGAGAUGGAGGAGAUUUCUUUGCAAGACUAGAGACUGACAUAAGACCAUCUGCUCUUCAUGAAAUUCUGUGAACCUGUGGACUUGGAUAGCAAUUGUGCAGUUGUGUAUGAGAAGAAAAUUUGGCUCACAUAGUGCAGUGAUGGAAAGAAUGGUAAAUCUAGAACUAACCAGGGGAUUUGAGGGAUAAAUGCAGUUUUGUCACAGAUUCUCUUUCUAGAUUAUUAUAUUUCUUUUUUACAGGUUUUCACAUUAAGCAAACUCCCAGAUUGCAUUAUUAGCAAAGUUUGAGUCCUCUGGUAAUGAGGAUCAGACUUUAGUGCAGUUUAUAAUAAAUUGUGAACAGAACAUUGACCAAAUGUAGAUGUAUUGUAUUGUUUGGGCAGAUCUUAUUAGAUGUACAUGAAGAGUCUUAAUUAUGAGAUUAGAUUGAGCUUGGAAAUAUUUCUUCUUGGUUCAAGUAGCUCACAUAGUUCAUUUAAUCAAAUAACUGCAUAUGUGCAAUUAAAUGUGUAACAUCUAAAAUUUCAGGCGUUUUACUUUUUGUGAUAUGUUUAAUCUGCUCAUCUGCUAAAAAAUAGAUCCUCACAUUACUUAUUCGAGGAUUAAAUUAUAUUGCUUUUUAAAUUAGUAAUCCCCAAAGAGCUACAGGAAUUUAUGAACAUUAUUCCAUCAAUGUUAAAAAACGGAGUUACCUGAAAGAAAAAGAAGUCUAAUUAAAUUUUUUUCCUUGUUGAAUCCUGUUAAGUGCUUUCUUCAUAUGAGAAAUUUGUGAAGUUAUUGCAAAGCUGUAAGGGCAGGGAUCAGAAGUGCAGAUAUAUAUAAAAGUCAGCUGUGUGAUAAUGGUAAAGAGAGACAGAGACAGAUUCUGUGCUGGUUUUAGAAUCUGCCAAGGACGUGGGUGCUGUAUUUUGGGCAAGAGAACUUUUUUAGCCUAAUGCCAUCUGGCUGGCUUUCAUCUGUGCCAGUUGUUCCACAUGCCAAGCUGCCUGUCCUGCCCCCACCACGCUUUCUGAAGUAGAAAUUAAAUUUAAAACACAGUAAAUUUCUAGUAGCCUGAUUGGAAAAAUAUCCAUGAAAGAAUUUAGAAACCCAAGGAAGCAAUCCAAGCUUCUGAGCUUCUGUCAGAGGCUUUGAUCAGGAGUUUCCUCAUCCAUGUCCUGAAGCAAUCUUUAGAUACUUUUUGCCUUUCAAGCCUCACUGGCAGCAAAAGUCCUGGCUGUAGGAUCUGCUUCAAUUUGUUGUCCAAUGUACAUGAUAAAUGCAGUUAAAACACACAUAAAACCUCCACACACUCCCACCUAAUAUCUUCUGUUCCAUUCUUUUAAUUAGUAACUAUAUACCUGUAUUUAGAAAUACAACAAUACAGGCUUUCCUCACCUCAAUCUCCACAAGGUACCUGCAUGGUUUGUAUUUCUGGGCUGGCAGUUGUGCCAUCUAGCACAACAUGGAUCUGUUCUGCAGUCCUCUGGAGGAGACCCACAGCUAAUUUUUAUCCUGGGAUUUAUUCCUUACUUAGAAGAAUUAAGGAGUUGAGCUAAAUUGAGCAACUCAUCUAUAUAUUCAUUUUACAGUUAACUAAAUAGCUCUGCUGAUGAUUUUGGAGUGUUUUUUUUUCUCAUGCUCAUCUGUAUAUAUGUAAUUUACCAUCAUUAAUGCUGUCACAAGGAAAGGAGAGAGAAAUUCAUUAAAUCAUCUUGUACAGAUAUUUCUGUAAGGAAAAUCAUUACAGUAAACUUGAUUUCAAUAGGAACAAACUCUUCACUAAACAUAAAGAGACUGACAAUCAAGAAUGUUUCAGUUUUUGGAUGGAAUUUGAAUGUCUUUUGAAUCAUGGAGAUUCUUUCAGGAAGGAUUUCUGCAAAACUCAUCCAGCUAUCUGACUUUACCUGCUUUAUAUGGCUUUUGCCUCUCUUUCAUACCUAAAACCUUGAUGCUUUUCUCCUUUGGACCUCAGUGUUCUUUGUGUCAGUUUUAUACCUGAUAUAUAUUUGUCUUGUGAGCACUUUGGGGGGGGGGGGUUGUCCUUCUAGAGAAGGUCAAAUUUGUUUGUCAUUGAACUGAUUCAACAAAUUCAAUUGAUAUGGGGAUCUGAAAAAUCUUGGUGGUUUGAUGCUUGUGCAUCAUCAUCAAUAAUUUUGGUAAUCUGAGGUAGGUAUUUAUAAAUAACAUUCUUCAAUUGCUUCUCAUAUUUUGUGAAUCACAUUUAAAUUAGUAUUACCAAUAACAGUGAGAUUUGACAGAGUCUUUCAGAUUCUGCAGUGCAUUUUUAAAAUCAGAAUAUAUUUAAAUGGAAUUUUAUUUGUAAAGAGAGGAAGUUGGAUUGAAAACCUGUUGUGAAGCUACUAAAUCCAUGAUGUAUUUUUCAAAGUCAUAGUGAUGAUUACACUGGAAUUUACCACAGCUGCUUUAAAUGCUGCUAAUAGUAAAUUAAAGAAAUAUUUUAUUAUGAAUGGUCACCAGAUUUUCACUUUGUACUUGUUGCACAGCUGUACCUGUUUAUAGCUGUAUUAGCUUCACCUGUUCAACAGGUGAGAUAUCUUUUAUUAAAGAUAACAGGACAGGAACAUAAAGUGGCACAGAGGAAAGCAAUUCCUUAUCAGCUGAUGGAGUUCAGGGUCCAUUAAUGCCCUUUGGCAUCUCAUCAGUCACAUGCACACCUUAAGAAUUCCAUUGAGGCUGAAUCACUGCUGCAUUACUUCUGCAACUUAAUCUUUAAAAAAACCCCAAACAAAAUCAACCAACCAAACAAACCAGUAAACAAAUCAGUCAUUAAGUAAAUAACUUGGUCAUAUUUAAGGAUAUUUCAUAUUUUAAUUGCAUUGUGUGUACAAUCAAAUGAGAACAUAU